ACAUCCAGAGAACUUAGCAGAGAUGCUUUGGUGCCUUCGGGAACUCUGAGACAGGUGCUACAUGGCUGUCGUCAGCUCGUGUUGUGAAAUGUUGGGUUAAGUCCCGCAACGAGCGCAACCCUUAUCCUUUGUUGCCAGCGGCUCGGCCGGGAACUCAAAGGAGACUGCCGGUGAUAAACCGGAGGAAGGUGGGGAUGACGUCAAGUCAUCAUGGCCCUUACGGCCAGGGCUACACACGUGCUACAAUGGCGCAUACAAAGAGAAGCGACCUCGCGAGAGCAAGCGGACCUCAUAAAGUGCGUCGUAGUCCGGAUUGGAGUCUGCAACUCGACUCCAUGAAGUCGGAAUCGCUAGUAAUCGUAGAUCAGAAUGCUACGGUGAAUACGUUCCCGGGCCUUGUACACACCGCCCGUCACACCAUGGGAGUGGGUUGCAAAAGAAGUAGGUAGCUUAACCUUCGGGAGGGCGCUUACCACUUUGUGAUUCAUGACUGGGGUGAAGUCGUAACAAGGUAGGCGUAGCGAG
rnacentral:rRNA from 1 species